rnacentral:lncRNA from 1 species
AAAACCAUCAGAUUUUCAUUUUUUACAAAAAAAAAAAAAAAGAAAGGGAGGGAGAGAGAGAUGCUCUCCCUGGCCACGCAUCCGGCCUGGGCAUCCGGCGAGCCUCCGCCGUAGCGCCACUAUGUGUGGCGGCCGGAGGCUCAAAAUCGGACCUUUUUUGGUUCCCUUUGUAGCCCACUGCUUCUAGGCCAGGAAUAUGGAGCCGAAACUCGUCAAAAAGGAUACCAAAGACUCGAAAACGAGCCGACACCCUUCGACUUCUCCCCCUCCGGCGCGGCGCAGGAAGAAAGGUACUCCCUUUCCUUUUCUUUUUAAAUGUUUCUUUGUUUGCUGGUGUAGGGAGAAAAAUGAAAAAUAAAAAACGAAAAAAAAAAAGCAAAUCAGAAACAAGAGAAUCGCAAAUCACCUUCAAACUUUGUUUUUUUUUUAUUUCUGAAAGUGUUUCUUUUACAAGAUGAUAAAACAAAAAAAAGUCCAACCCCCAAAUAUUACAUAUUGUUGGCUUUUAUAGCCGAAUCUAUUGUUGCUGUUUUCUGCUUUUUGCUUCUUUGUUCCUUCUUUGUAGGUGACGGCGCAAGUGGCAUGGGAGCGGUGACGGUGACUGACGUGCGCCGGUGGCAGUGGCUAAGGGUAGGGUGCGGCGCCAGAAGACCAAGAGUCAAAGCAUGCGGCGCUAGAGGCGGCGCCUAGGGAUUCAGACUGAAAACCCUAGGCA